GGGUCAGUAGCUUAGUCAGGUUAAAAGCCGGCAGCUCAUAACUGCUUGAUCGCGGGUUCAAAUCCUGCCUGACUCACCA
rnacentral:tRNA from 1 species